rnacentral:rRNA from 1 species
UAGGGAAUCUUCCACAAUGGACGCAAGUCUGAUGGAGCAACGGCCGCGUGAGUGAAGAAGGUUUUCGGACCGUAAAAGCUCUGUUGUUGGUGAAGAAGGAUAGAGGUAGUAACUGGCCUUUAUUUGACGGUAAUCAACCAGAAAGUCACGGCUAACUAACGUGCCAGCAGCCGCGGUAAUACGUAGGUGGCAAGCGUUGUCCGGAUUUAUUGGGCGUAA